UCAUGGCUCAGAUUGAACGCUGGCGGCAUGCCUUACACAUGCAAGUCGAACGGCAGCGGGCCUUCGGGUGCCGGCGAGUGGCGAACGGGUGAGUAAUGCAUCGGAACGUGCCAUUGAGUGGGGAUAACGUAGCGAAAGUUACGCUAAUACCGCAUAUUCUGUGAGCAGGAAAGCAGGGGACCGCAAGGCCUUGCGCUCUUUGAGCGGCCGAUGUCAGAUUAGCUAGUUGGUGAGGUAAAGGCUUACCAAGGCGACGAUCUGUAGCGGGUCUGAGAGGAUGAUCCGCCACACUGGAACUGAGACACGGUCCAGACUCCUACGGGAGGCAGCAGUGGGGAAUUUUGGACAAUGGGCGCAAGCCUGAUCCAGCCAUGCCGCGUGAGUGAAGAAGGCCUUCGGGUUGUAAAGCUCUUUCGGCCGGGAAGAAAUCGCAUGGGUUAAUACCCUGUGUGGAUGACGGUACCGGAAUAAGAAGCACCGGCUAACUACGUG
rnacentral:rRNA from 1 species